rnacentral:misc_RNA from 1 species
GCAAACUAGUAGUUUAAAUUCAAUUAACCAACACAAAUAAGAAAAUCUCUAGUUUAGAUUGAGGUCACAGUUUUUAAGCGUGGAAUGCUUAUAAUAUAUAAAUACAUAUGCUCCAACUCAAAUGUACUUAAAUUUCCAUGCAUCUGUCUAGAAAGAAAAACCAUUUGAUCACAGUAGAAGUAUCAGAGGUUGAACAGACCCCAUAAUAUGCCAAGCCAUUUUCACAUUCAAGAUAUUUCUGCAGUGAAUCACAAAAGACUAGCAGUGUUUUCACAAUUAAUCUGAUUUGUUUCAGCACAGUUUAUUGAUCACCCAUUUGAAAUCAGAAGGAAAUGCAUAAAACUAAAACAACAAUGCAAGAGUGCAUGGCAAAAUACUCAUAGCUUUCACUUUAUGGGCUAAUUACCCAAUCACCAAAUACUUGGCUGAAG